AUAUCAAUAAGCGGAGGAAAAGAAACCAACAGGGAUUACCUUAGUAACGGCGAGUGAAGCGGUAAAAGCUCAAAUUUGAAAUCUAGCACUUUCAGUGUUCGAGUUGUAAUUUGAAGAAGGUAUCUUUGGAGUUGGCCCCCGUCUAUGUUCCUUGGAACAGGACGUCACAGAGGGUGAGAAUCCCGUGCGAUGGGGAGACCAAUUCUAUGUAAAGUUCCUUCGAAGAGUCGAGUUGUUUGGGAAUGCAGCUCUAAGUGGGUGGUAAAUUCCAUCUAAAGCUAAAUAUUGGCGAGAGACCGAUAGCGAACAAGUACAGUGAUGGAAAGAUGAAAAGAACUUUGAAAAGAGAGUGAAAAAGUACGUGAAAUUGUUGAAAGGGAAGGGCUUUUGAUCAGACUUGGUGUUUAGUACUCUCUACUCCUUGUGGGUGGGGCUCUUGCUUUAUACUGGGCCAGCAUCGGUUUGGAUGGUAGGAUAAUAGCAUUGGAAUGUGGCUUCAUUCGUGAAGUGUUAUAGCCUUUGUUGAUACUACCUAUCUAGACCGAGGACUGCGUCUUUUGACUAGGAUGCUGGCGUAAUGAU
rnacentral:rRNA from 1 species